GGAGGAGCAGGAGGAGGAGGAGGAGGAGAGGAGGACCAUUUUGUUUGCGAGGCAGAAAAGACGGACAGACGACCAGACCUUGGCGAGCUCGUCCUCCUGGGUCGGUGACGGGAUUUCCUCCUCGUUCUGCUUGUCUGCAGAAAAAAACAAAAAAAAACAGCACAUGUUCAUAAACAAACAAGAAUUUAUCGAUUUAAUUUGGUGGAAACUCAGAGGACAGGUGUCUGAGGAGAGACGGAGACGGAGACUCACCCAGGAAGGUGCUGGAGAUGUACUCCGACACCUGGUUCCCGGAGCGGCUCAUCUCUGACAGCAGUGCUUAGAACUGAACCAGCAGAACCCAGGAUGACCCCAGGAUGACCCCUGGAUGACCCCAGGAUGACCCCUGGACCAUGCUCACGUACUUUGUUGGAGGCCAUUUCACUGACAGAGCGGACUGAUUCUGUGAUUGGUUGUCUGGGUCUACAUUAUACAGUCAACUGGCUAACUGUCUGAGCUGUAACCCCGCCCCUGCCCAACGACUGCUGUGAUUGGCUGCAGCUCCUGCAACAACCCUGAGGAUUUGAAGGGCGGAGCGUUCCCGAACCCAGGCAGCAGAGCAGGUGGAGAGCCAGGACCGGACAGGUCAGAGGUCACUGCAAGGUCAAACCGAGGUCAGACCGGGUCACAGCCGGCCCCCAUUGGUACUGACUCCAAAGCGAACCGACCCCUGACCCAGACUGUGUCCACACUUUGAGCCUCGAUGAUUCCUCAGCUGCAGGACUGCACAGGUGCAUUCAUGUGGACCUCCAGUGGCCCUUAGUCCAGGGGGGGACGGGGACAGGGGGGGUCUAUGUUUUUAUAUUUCCCAAAAGUCCAAAAACAGAAGUUAGGGGCCCGACGUCCUACUCCAUGUUCACGUCAUCUAAAAGUGUCAGGGAAGAAGUCUGUUUUUUUGCAUAUUGUCCUGGGUGGGCGGGACCAGCCUGCACGACUUCCUGUCCACAGUUCAUGGCGUCGACGUGGAGUGUCGUUCACAUGGUGUUUUCCAACUUUUCACCAGAUUCCACAGAAAUACAACUUCCUUUGAGCUUCAAAAACCAAAGUCCCGUUGGACUGUGGAAGACUACGCCCCCCGGCGUCCCCGCCGUCUCACAUGAGCGUCCUGAUGCGGCGGCCCGGGUGUUUAAAGAACACUCCACCGACGGUACAUCCACACAGCUGUCGAACAUAGUCCGCUGAUCCUACGGUUCCACACCUGAAGCGUCCAGGUGGGAGGACGCAUCCUUGACCCGACGUCGGCGACUCCGUUCUGCUCUGGAAAACCUUGAAGGAAAAGGAAAAGAAUCGAAACGUUACCUCAGGCAGGAAGUGACUGAAAUCAUCAACUUCCUCUGUCUGUGGUGGACACGAUCGGGCCAGAACCAGUACUUUAGGCACCUGGCUGUACACACCGUAAUCAGGUGACCUGUGGUAAUAACCAGAGACCAAUCAAACCAUGGCACACCUUUGUCCUAGGACAGUGACGGCAUCACUGGUGUGUCCGUACCUUUCAUUGUUACGUUACGUUCCCAGACUUGGUCUUUAGGUGUUUGUUGUUUUAGUGUGGACCAAUGACACGGAGCUGUUGGUCAGAUCUGGGCCACAACUGGAUCCCACACUGUGGACAUUCUUGUGUAGUAAGAUCUGCUGCAGCAGGCUGCCCCCUGGAGGCACCAGAGGGAGUUUGAAGAGCUGUAGUCUGGUGGUGGGCCACCAGGGAAGACAGAAGGUUUCAGCUGCCUGGACCUGGACCUGGACCUGGACCUGGACCUGGACCUGGACUGGAGUGUGUGGAGACACACUGAGGAUUCCUGUUGGCAACAGCGGCGAGUCGCAUAUUCACCUCCUUCACCGCUAGAGGGCGGUAAUGGAAUAUAUAUAUAUAUAUCAGUUUGGGUGAAACCUAAAAGAAGACAAAGAGUCGCGGCUGUGUGGAUCAGUGUUACUUCAGCAGAGACUGAUAUCAUGGUGUCCAGUGGGGGUUUCAAACCGACUCACCUCAGGUUCCAGUUUGUUCAUCACCUCCUGCAGCAUCUGGAGGUUCUUUUCAGCGAAGCUCUUCUGUAGUUCCUGUUGAGGACGGAACAUUUACAAUCGAUCUACUGACACGAGACGAUGAAGGAAAGAAACUUUGACAAACAUUUAGUUCAUCUUCAUCUCAAAAAGGAAGAAAGGAUUUUUUUAAAAACAAGAUUUCAAAUGAGAUUUCCUGCACGGACAGUGACUGAUAGACCUCCACAGGGUCUAAACCACUUGGGCCCAGUUUCCUCUGCCUCUGCUGCUGCUCCUCCUCCUGCUGCUCCUCCUCCUCCUCCUCCUCCUGAUCUUCAGUGACUCCCUCCGUACGGAUCAGUGCACAGCUGUGAAUCCUCUCCUUCAGUAACUCCAGUUCAUGGUCAAACGCAUCCAGUACCACUGUUCUCCUGUAGGAGUCACACGCUGUUGCACUUCACCCUAAAUACAGAUCUAGAGCAGGAUUUGGUAGAUUUUCCAAACCUUGAUUUUUGAGAAGAACCGUCUGAAACAGCCUCUGGGGUCGACCCUC